GCCGUUAGUGUAAUGAGCACUGGUCUGGUAAACCAGGGGUCGGGAGUUCAUUUCUCCCUGGAGGCA
rnacentral:tRNA from 1 species